rnacentral:rRNA from 1 species
GACGAACGCUGGCGGCGUGCUUAACACAUGCAAGUGGAGCGACGAACCCUUCGGGGGGCAAAGCCGCGAACGGGUGAGUAACACGUGGGUAACCUGCCCCGAUGACUGGGACAACCCGGGGAAAUCCGGGCUAAUACCGGAUGAUGUGCACACACUUAAGUGUGUUCACUAAAGGUAGCUUCGGCUUCCGCAUUGGGAGGGGCCCGCGGCCCAUUAGCUUGUUGGUGAGGUAACGGCUCACCAAGGCAACGAUGGGUAGCUGGUCUGAGAGGACGAUCAGCCACACUGGGACUGAGACACGGCCCAGACUCCUACGGGAGGCAGCAGUGGGGAAUCUUGCGCAAUGCGCGAAAGCGUGACGCAGCAACGCCGCGUGAGGGAAGACGGCCUUCGGGUUGUAAACCUCUUUCAGUAGGGACGAAGGCCGGCCGGUGAAUAGCCGUGUCGGUUGACGGUACCUUCAGAAGAAGCUCCGGCUAACUACGUGCCAGCAGCCGCAGUAA